GUGUUCCCUGUGAUUCAAACCCACAACCUUUUGCUCUGCUAACGCAAUACUCAAAAACACUGAGCCACAGGAACAUGCUUAAUGCUUCUUAUUCUCUGCAUUGUUUUAAAACAAAACAUAGCGUGGUGCUCAAGAUGAGCUAUUUCCAUGGGUCCAUCACUUGUGGAUAAAAACUGCAUCUUUAAAUUUUCAAGGAUCCAUAUUUAGCUCCCAGAGACACAGGCGUUCUUUAAGCAUGCUGAGGAAUAGCUACUCAAUGUUAGGUGUAUGCUCCGAGCUCUGUUCAUCUUGUUCAUCUUAAUCACCACACCCCUCGUGCCCCCAACCCCCCACCCUUCAUCUCCAUUCUCCCUUUGUCCUCAGACAGCCCAUGGAAUAUUGCUUCCAUCAGCUGCCCUGUAUAAACCAAAUAAUCUGACAGGCUGAAGAAAGGAGAGCGCGGGAGGAGGAGGAGAGAAGGAUGCAGAGAGCUGCAGACCAUGCAUCUGAGCGCCUGUCUUGUCUGCUGGAAAAAGGAUUGUAAUUUUCUUCCCAAAGCUGGACGAUGUACAUGUUCAUGGACUGAAAACACCACCGAGACUUUAGCAUCAAUAGCGACAAUGCUCAGAGUCAAACCCAGAGAAUACAGAUUCACUGAUCUUUGACUAUGGCAAAAUAGGGACUGCAUUAGCUUUUGAUAUUCUGUAUGUUCAUAAAGUAAUGCGAGUUCAAAGCAAUCUAAAAAUAGAGGUGUGGUACUGGAUUUUUAAGAAAAACACUCCUAUCUCCUAUUCCUGUUUUUCUUGUUUCUAACCGAUGCUAAGAGAUUGAAAUAUUACUUCCCCUGUUCCAAUAUUAGCACUACACUUACUACACUGACCUUGUGACCUUCUAGUAAUUCCCUAGUAGUCUUCAGUCUAGUCCUAAACUCUUUGUGGUCUGCAAUGAUUUGACUCGUAGUCUUUCUGUCUUUUCUUGUCUCAAUGCAUCCCUCUCAGUUUUCAUCUUGUACUCCACCUUAUUAUUAAUUGUCACUACCUCCAGGCGAGGGCUUGAACAAAGCAUUUAUACAGAAUGCCUACUAAUACAUAGUUGCUUUCUCAUGCUCUUUUCUUUCCAUAUAGCUCUUUUCACACAGACAUGCUCACAGUUUGCCAUCCAAACGUAUAACCUGCUGUUAAGCCAGUGCUUGAAUAAGUAACUGCCUCUACACUGCAGACGUGUUUCGGAGUGUACCUUUUAAAAGGUGAUGUCAUAUAGGGAGAUGUCUUCUGUUCAAGACAGCCAUUAGCAUCUGACCACAUUUUGGAUAUAACAUACAGAAAUGGGUUGUGCCAUUUGCACACAGUUGAUUGAUAUGUGGAGAGGGUCACGUAGCUCAGGAAGAGGCCAGACAUCAAUGGACAUGUCACAUUUGCCAGAGGUCACUCAGCAGGACUACCACAGACUCUCAGGCCUCCACUAUACUUCUUCUUUCUCGGAUGCGGAGGACUGUUGUGAAAUCACAAGUACAAGCACGUCUUCCUCCUCGGACUACAUCGGAAUAGACUGUUGACACUUGUUGUGGUUUCAGACUUUUGUGGGUUACUCACAUCUAGUGCCAAAUAUUGCCAUUCUUUUUUUGUUGCUCCUUCAAAAUGUGACAGUGUGACAGAGAAAUCUGCUUAGCCUGCCCAAAUUAAACUAAUGAGGUCUUUGUCUUGACUGUGAAAGGGGUUCUGCUCUCAUCCACAAUGUUCCAUAAUUCAGUUCCUGCUCAACUUGAGCAACAAUCCCAUUAUUGUCAGGGAAAGCAAUGCGUCUGUUACAACAUAUAUGAAUGCUGAAAUUGGAACUUCAUUGAUCUAGAAUCACUUUUUCUUUUAUCAUUCUGGAAUGUACAUUCUACAAAUAAAGCUUAAUGGUUUCAUCUGGGAGGAACAAAAACCUUCCAAAUGAAUAAUGAAACUGUUGA